rnacentral:rRNA from 1 species
UACGGAGGGUGCAAGCGUUAAUCGGAAUUACUGGGCGUAAAGCGCACGUAGGUGGUUUUCUAAGUCAGCUGUGAAAGCCCCGGGCUCAACCUGGGAAUUGCAUUUGAGACUGAAUAGCUAGGGUGCGGAAGAGGGAAGCGGAAUUUCCGGUGUAGCGGUGAAAUGCGUAGAUAUCGGAAGGAACACCAGUGGCGAAAGCGGCUUCCUGGUCCAGCACCGACGUUCAGGCACGAAAGCGUGGGGAGCAAACAGG